rnacentral:misc_RNA from 1 species
GAUGAAGAACGCAGCGAAAUGCAAUACUUGGUGUGAAUUGCAGAAUCCCGUGAACCAUCGAGUCUUUGAACGCAAGUUGCGCCCGAAGCCAUUAGGCCGAGGGCACGCCUGCCUGGGCGUCACACGUCGUUGCCCCCCCAUCUACUCCUUCGGGAUUGCGGGGGGCGGAUGAUGGCCUCCCGUGCGCCUCGUCGCGCGGUUGGCAUAAAUACCAAGUCCUCGGCGACGCACGCCACGACAAUCGGUGGUUGCGAAACCUCGGUUGCCCGUCGUGUGCGGUCGUCGCGCAUCGAGGGCUCGAAAAAAUUGCCGGGCUCCGGCUCGGCUUUCAACGCGACCCCAGGUCAGGCGGGGUUACCCGCUGAAUUUAAGCAUAUCAAUAAGCGGAGGA